rnacentral:lncRNA from 1 species
CGAUUUUUUCCAUCUGGUGUGGCUCGGUGUUCCAAUUUUCCAUUCUCCAUGUCCACACCUAAUAUAGAUAAGAAGAAAAACAAACAGAUCAUACGCAGACGAACAUAGGCACACAACCGAAAGUCUUUCAAAUUAAAAAAAUUAAAAAAUUCAUCAUAAAGAUAACAAGAAACGCACACUAACACACAACCCAAGAACUCACCCCCGCUUCGCCUUCAGAGCCAAUUUCUCGCGGCAAAGCCAUGUGCACUCUUGAGAAGCGCGGUGAUCUCUUCUUCCUAACCCUAACCUGCGACGACGAGCACCGCCUCAGCCUAACCCUCAUCGACUCGCUCCUCUCGGCUCUCUCC